ensembl:lncRNA
AUCACUGUCAGUUUGAUGGUAUAUAGCAGUGUUUCUGAAGCACAAAGGUUAGGGGGUUGGUAGGUGCGUCAGAAUUAUUUACGUUUGCUAUGCAUAAAAUGGCACUUGGGGAGCAAGGCAGGCUGCCAAGAAGGAGAGGAGUCUGUGCUGCCUGCUUGCUCUCUUGUAACAGGGCUGGAUUGUCAGGGUAGGAUUUAUAAAAAUUGCUUCCAAACAGUAUCAUCUUCCCCCAAAUGGAUGUGCCCCUGUCUGUUGCAGCGAAUGUCAUUAUUGCUAUUCUCAUGGCAAGAUGUCUAUCAGGCUCUACUUUUGUUUAUAAACAAAUCUGCCUGCCCUGCCUAAGAUAUGGAUAGUUUAAGGAAAAGUACCGUGAGCAAAGGAAGAAGUUAAUUAUAUUUCAGGAUCUCAGCAGGGAAUGCUAUCUCAGAGCAUUCAGUAAGAUCUGACCAGAGGAGUCACAAUUAAAAAACGUCCCCAGGGAGGAACUUGUGAAUUAUUUACUGUAAGGGGCUUUUCCAGGUUCUUUUAGUUUAAUUACACACUCUGAAAGAGAAAGGCUUCAGAAACAAAUUAACUAAGGGGUUGAAAUGGAUUUGUUACAAUCAUGUUUGCAGCUAAGCAAGUGGGAGGCUGCGAGUAAAGUUCAAAUAUAGGGCAAAUCUUUGGGAGCUGGCACUGCACAUGGCUUAAAAGUCAUAUGGAAAGCACCCAAAUGCCCGUGCAUAGAAAUGCAGUCACUGGGAUUGUCCAGGAUUUCCACUGCCCUCAGAAGACAUUAUAAGUACUCCACAGGAUCAGAUCUGAUAGCGCUACACGUCCUCACAGCCAUUUGACGAGCUGACAUUUGUGGGCUCCAAACAGCCUGGUUAACCCUUGCUGGAAGGUACCAUAAACACUUGCCUCCUUUUCAAAAGCACGGAGGAAGCCUGACUUGCUCGCCCUCCCACGUCAAAUAUGCUUUAAGCAUUUGCUACUGAAAUUGGCCUCUGGAGCUGACCUUUGCUGGAAGACAGCUGCAGCAAUCCCAGGUCAGAUGUGGAGAAGGGAAGUCAAGAGGCCGGAGGCCUCCUCUCAUUUCAACCACUGACUCACUGCUUGGCAGAGAAGGGAAUUAUCUAAUAUGCCUGCUAAGGAGUAAGGCAGCCAGUAAUACUCUAUCUGCCUGUCUGUUGAUGCCAGAUCUUUUGUAUGUAAUGGCACUUCUACACUGCCUUUGUCCUUGUGUUUACUUCCUUUUGAAAAUGAGAAAGGCCUCUGCUGUGACACCCUGAGCAAGCAGCCAACUGGCUGAGCAGAGCAGCGUUUCUGGUGCAUCAGUCCGUGCUCAAGCAUAUAUAACUUCUCUUUACCUUGUGCCUCCUUUUUCUUUCAGAUUUAUUGCACUUAACACAUCUGGCUCAGAUGGAAACUGCCCCACAAUUAGCAGUAUUUCUACCCCCUGCACGCAUGCAGUCUUCAACACGUGCCAUUUGAUUAUAGCCUCAAGCUGGAAAAAUUGAUUACAGAUAAACUGUGCCUGCCACCCAUGCCUUCCCCUGGGACUUCAUCUGCUGCAAUUCUACCAACGUGCUGCUGUCUCCCUAACAGGAAAAGCUCAUGUAUGAACAGUGCUGUUGUAAUAUAUUAAGAGUAGUGGGAAAGGCCGUGGAAGUGAGCCAUAAAUCUGGAGGCCUCCAACAUGACUGGGCCUGCUCACUGACUCCAAGCAUCCAAAGCAAGAGAACUAGAUAACCUCUCAGAGUUCCUCCCAACUCUAACAAUUCUACAACAAAUAGGAAAGGAGAGAGAUCAUUUGCCAAGAAUCAACCUCACCUGCUGCAAAUCUGACUGGAAGCCUGUGGGGCAAAGAAAGACAACAACAGAGCCUUUCCCCAGGAUGCAAACGCCAUAGAACAGGACAAUAAAAUAAGAACUGACUUACCUCCUUCCAGUGACCAGCAACAGCUCAAAAGGAGUGCAGCCUCCAACAGAUGCAGCUCCUUCGGCUUCUAGUCCUUAAAUGAGUGAGAGGUGGAUCUAAGCUUCACCCAUAUCAAUCACUCAGGUACAUUGAUUGCACCUGAACAACCUAGGUUAGCCAUAGCUGGUGCUCAGCCAUUGCUUCAGGCCCUGACCUGUCAAUUCUACUGCAGAGCCAUUCAGCUGCUGCAUACAGCCCUCCUUCUGACACAACAGGGGCACUGGACCUAUGUGCAAACCCUACGCUGUUUUCCUAUUAGUCCUUAGGCCGCAAAACAUCACAAACAUCCCUUGGAUGCUCAAAAUGUGGUAACUUGGAUAUUAGGAAGAAUUUAUUCUCAGAAAGAGCGGUGAUGCAUUGCCACAGACUGCCCAGCAAGGUGGUGGGAGGUGUUUAAGGAAAGAGUAGAUGUGGCACUGAGGGAUGUGGCCCAGUGGGCAGUGUUAGUGGUAGGUGGGUGGUUGGAUGUUAGAGGUCUUUUCCAACCUUAAUGAUUCUAUGAUUCUAAGAUUCCGAGGCUACGGAAAUUGUUUAGCAGGAGAGCAAUGCUGUUGGGAGAAAAAUACAAACACAUUAAUGACAUUCAGCCAAAGGAUUAUCAAAGGCAAGGAACCCAGGGCACUUAUUUAGGAAAUUAUUCAAGGAGGAGACUCUAAGGGAUGUGAAUUCGUGGUUUCCUUCCUGCGUAAUACAGGAGAGCACAGGAAGGCAGCCCUUGAAUUCAUGGGUCAUAACCCUAUCUACCGAACAGCUUGAGUACGAUCAGUUUAAAAUGAGUCUCAGUGCUCUUCUGCUUUUCCCAAGAGCACAGAAAAAUUAAUCUACCACUGAAGUUUCUCUCUGUCUCAAGCUGUAAAAUACAAGUUUGUGCCGAUAAUUAUUUUGACAGCCGUCACACGUGCCUGUUGUGAAGGAUCAGCACAGACAGUUUCCAAUAUGAUGUGAACCUGUGGUAAUGGCUAAUUAGAAUGCAUUACACAGUCAGUCCCUACAGUUCUCUGUUCCUUAAGAAAAUCUGCAUUUCAGAAGAGAGCCUUAUAUUGGAUAUACAGAGUUGCCUGCAGAUUUCCAUUGUGCUAUGCCAUACCCAUUUGUACCAAAGCAUUUUCUUCCGUAGCUCACCAAAUAUAGCAGCUUUCUUCAGCACGGGAACAAGACUCAGGAAAGGCUUUGUCCUCGUUCUCCUUAUAGACAAGCAGGUACAAAAAUACCAAGCAAUACGUAGCAGGAGCAGAAGUGUUAGAGGUUACCUAAGGAAUUUCGUACAAUGCUACUUUGACGUCAGAGUUGUCUCAAAUACUACCUGCUGUCAGUGUAAUAUCUAGAGGGUGAGUAAAUCUGUUUCUCACACAGACUUCUCAAAACCAGACUCAGAAUGAGUUAGAAGCUUUUGAAUAGCACUCUGAUUUCUAAGUUACGUAAGUAUUUGCAAUGUUACCCAGAAUCAGGUUGCACGUGCAGACUAGUUUCAAGCAGCACAAACAUAUCCAUAUUCUUCUGUGCUGGAGGUAUUAAUCCACAUAUGGAUAUUCAAUUACUAUCAGAGCAAACCAUUCACGUGCACUAGAAUCAGAUAAAAAUAUGCAAAGCAGGUGGCUUGAGGCUCAUUUGUACUGAAAUUCCUUCGGCUGUUUGAAGAGACUUUGUAAUGUCAGCAUACUCCCACCUGAGUACAUUCUUUACUGUGAGCAGAGUAAAGCGGCCUUCUUGUAUGUGAAAGUUAGAUCUGAAUAUGUUCGCUUCAAGGAUACAGGAUUUUUGUUUCAAGAUAAAAAUGACCAAAUAGGUAAAAUAACCUAAUUAUUGCCUUUCUUUCAAGGACUCAAGGAACUUAUACAGUGAGAAUCUGUGAAAAAUAAAUGGAAACCUGGAUUCUACUUCUCUAAUUUUCUCCUGCUCAUCUUUUAUCCUUUCUUUCUUUUUCUUCCCCAACUCCGUAUUAUCAUUCCUGCUGUCCUUAUCAGCAUUAUUGCUUUUGUUGGCCUCCAGUUCGGAGUCCUGCCACCCCGGCACCAUUUCAUCUCUCCAGAUGCAGAGUGGGGGUUUAGGAUAAAAUCUCAUCCUUUGGGAGUCCAUGGAGAUGCAUGGGAAAAAAAAUAAAAAAGCAGAUAAGAACAGUAAGUCUAUAAAUC